rnacentral:tRNA from 1 species
GCCCCCAUCGUCUAGCGGCCCAGGACGCUGCCCUUUCAAGGCGGUAGCACGGGUUCGAAUCCCGUUGGGGGCACAG